CCUACGUGAGGCUGCAGUAGGGAAUAUUGCUCAAUGGGGGAAACCCUGAAGCAGCAACGCCGCGUGGAGGAUGAAGGUUUUCGGAUUGUAAACUCCUUUUGUUAGAGAAGAUAAUGACGGUAUCUAACGAAUAAGCACCGGCUAACUCCGUGCCAGCAGCCGCGGUAAUACGGAGGGUGCAAGCGUUACUCGGAAUCACUGGGCGUAAAUAGCGCGUAGGCAGGAUAGCAAGUCAGAUGUGAAAUCCUAUGGCUUAACCAUAGAACUGCAUUUGAAACUGUUAUUCUAGAGUAUGGGAGAGGUAGGUGGAAUUCUUGGUGUAGGGGUAGAAUCCGUAGAGAUCAAGAGGAAUACUCAUUGCGAAGGCGACCUGCUAGAACAUAACUGACGCUGAUGCGCGAAAGCGUGGGGAGCAAACAGGAUUAGAUACCCCAGUAGUC
rnacentral:rRNA from 1 species